UACGGAGGAUCCAAGCGUUAUCCGGAUUUAUUGGGUUUAAAGGGUGCGUAGGCGGCCUGUUAAGUCAGGGGUGAAAGACGGUAGCUCAACUAUCGCAGUGCCCUUGAUACUGAUGGGCUUGAAUGGACUAGAGGUAGGCGGAAUGUGACAAGUAGCGGUGAAAUGCAUAGAUAUGUCACAGAACACCGAUUGCGAAGGCAGCUUACUAUGGUUUUAUUGACGCUGAGGCACGAAAGCGUGGGGAUCAAACAGG
rnacentral:rRNA from 1 species